rnacentral:piRNA from 1 species
UCAGGGACUCUCUUCCUGGAAAUCGGUGU